UACGUAGGUGGCAAGCGUUGUCCGGAUUUACUGGGCGUAAAGGGCGUGCAGGCGGUUUGUUAAGUGCAGGGUGAAAGCUGCCGGCUCAACUGGGAGAGGUCCUUGCAUACUGGCAAACUCGAGGGAGGCAGAGGAAAGUGGAAUUCCCGGUGUAGUGGUGAUAUGCGUAGAUAUCGGGAGGAACACCUGUGGCGAAGGCGGCUUUCUGGGCCUUACCUGACGCUGAGACGCGAAAGCGUGGGGAGCGAACCGG
rnacentral:rRNA from 1 species